CCUGGCUCCUCCAGGGGCCUCCAGCGGACCCUGCGCCUGCCCUUCGCAGCCGCACGCCCAGGCCGUGCCCUUUCGGGCGGCUUCUCCUCCUUGGCUUUCCUCAGCAAGCCCUCCUCCAGCGGACACGCGCAUCCGUUUCGCCAACGCCCCUUUACCCUCCCUCUGUAGCCGGCUCUCUGGCCCCUCGUGGCUGUGGCUGUGCUCCUCGCCUGGAGCCAGGGCUGCGGGGAGGGGCGAUAGGGCAACAGGGCUCGAAAAGGCUUCUAAAAGAUAAAGCCGGUCUCAGCCUUGCUAAGUAGAACCGAGAGGGAAAGAUCUGCCGCCCUCUGGGCUUGCGAGGAGCCAGCAGCAUCGCGCCCCCUGCCGGCCAGUGAGGGGGCCGCCCCUCCCCGGAAGAAGAGGGCGGGGCCGCCAGAGAAAGACGCAUCCAACCUGGAUCAGGAUGGGCGCCUCUGGGAGUUUUACUGGAGCAGCUAGUGAAUAAAUUGGCUCCGCGAUUCAGAGAGCAUCAACCUAGGGUGGGAUCAAGGCUGGCCGAUCCCCCACGCCCACACCCCGCAAUGCGCACGCAGCGAAGAUUGCUCAGGCUCUGGGGAAUGAAGGUCUUGGAGCGCUGGCAGCCCCUGGAGACCAU
rnacentral:lncRNA from 1 species